GGAGAGGUAUGGCGAGAAUGAAUGUUAGUUUGAUAUUUUGGUAUGAUUGUUAUAUCCCCUUGUUAUGAAUGCUAAGUGUUGCACGUGUUGUGAACUGAGUGAUUAAGUCUUCGUUGAAUGUGCGAGAGAAUGUGUUAGUCAGUAAGGUCUUGCUCCCGGUCCAGGAAGGUUGGACGUUUACUUCCUGGACUGGUAUUUAUGUAUUUAUAAGUUGAUGGACUGGUGUUUUGUUUAUUAAUAUUUACUUGAGCAAUAUUGGAUAUUAAAAUAUUGAUAUAUUCUUGGAGAUUUGGAGUUGGAGUUGAUGUGUAGGCUAUCUAGUGGUAACUGUUCUUAUUUGAGUAAUUAAACAAGUAUUGUUAAGUGUUAUUGAGGAUUCAUACCCCUAGCGAGCAUAGUCAACAAGAACAAGAGACAAGCAGAGCAUUGCAGCAGUAUAUAUAUAUAUAUAAAAAUUAGAACCCUGACAUCUGGAGGCUUCGUCCGGGCAGGUAUCGUUGUACCUGUUACCUGUAUUAUUAAACACCAGUGUAUUAACCGGUGUACUAAUACAGUAUUAUUCUUGACAUCUAUCUGAGGGCUAGUCCGGGCAGGUCAGUUAUACCUGUUAUGUCAUUCGUCACGUUGAAGAAGUCGAUAAGAAAAUAAAGAAUAAGCAACACAAGCAAAGAAAAGGAUACCGAAUUUUUUGAGCUUCGUCUGGUCUGGGACAGUAACUAUUGUACAUGACAUUGUCUACUGAAGUUGGAUUCAAGGCAAUCUGUAGUAUUUGUAACCUACUACUCGUUGACAUUUUUGGGCCUCGUUCGGCCAGUAUUUGAGAGUCUCUUGACACAAAUUGAAGGACUUGACAUUGUUUACAUUUUUGAGAACACGGAGGAACUAUUUUUUUUCGCCAUCAACACGUUAUUGUUGAAGUCAAGGUCAUUGACUAAUGUGGACUUGUAGCUACUUCUUGUAUACCGGAGGUCAUUGCGUCACCCACCAUUUAAAGGGACAUCACCAUUUAAUGAGACACUACUAGUACUACUACUACUUACUUACUAUUGGAUAAUGGGAUUUAGAGACAUCGCCAUUUAAAGAGACAUCGCCAUUUAGAUACAUCACCAUUUAAAGGGACAUCACCAUUUAAAGAGACACUACUAUUACUAGUUUUCACUUACUAUUGGAUUAUUCUGCAUGAAUGCAAUUACUCAAGUAAUCGUGAUUUAUCUACCUUUGCUACAUUGAUGUUGGAUUAUUAUUGUACUACCUGACUAGAUAAUCUUUUUUUUUAUGCACCCAUAUUAUUACUAUUAGUAUCAUAUCAAUGUUUGAAUAAUUUUGUUUUGUAUUUGUUUCAUUCUCUAAAUCUGCUGUGAGUCAUAAAGCGUUUACAAGGAGGCCGAACAGCGACCUGACACUCCAGAAGUUCUAUAUUCUUAAAGCAACACUGUCGUGUGGGAAGAGUUGUCAUUUCUUUCCUGGCAUCAGACACAGAUAAGUUGAGUUUUCUUUUGUCUGUUGUAUAGGGCAUUCAGGGUCGAGUGUACAUUGCCUUUUCAGUAGGGGAGAUAAAGGUACAUCCGAAAUAGCUUGCUGUGUGUUGCACCAAGUAGAUGGCUUCCUUCCGGUUAAGUGCAGAGAGCUGAUACAUGGAGAGUAGCAUUACUUCAUUAGUAGCGUGAGUGUCCAACGCCUAGACAGAUACCUCUGAUACCCAGGAGGAUGCACAAUUCAGUUUGACCACAGACCAUUGUCUACUAGCAGAUACACUGUCAAGACUUAUCAUAUUUGUAUUAGUUAUAAUUGGUAAAAUUAUUUUUUUUCCCAAUACAAUGUGAAACGUGCCUUUAACUAUUAGAGAUGGUAUCUUGUCGUAUAUUAUUGCUAUACAUAGGAGUUUAUCUUUUCUUGUAUGUUUGCUGUUUUACAUAUUAAAUAUUAACGUGGAAAGGACUAGGCUUGCCGACUUCAAAUUGUAAUUUAAUUCUCCAUGCCACUUUUUUUUUUCUCAUUUAUUCUUUUCUCUCUUUCCCUUUGUUGUAAAUAGCUGGACAUAUUUCUUUUGUUAGGUUUAUAAGGGCUAUUUCACUUUCAUGUACAUUAUAUACAUUUGUGUGUAGAUAUAUAUGUUUAUAUAUAUAUGUAUAUAAGUAUGUGUAUGACACAGUGUGUGUAUGUAUGUAUAUUUAUGUAUAUAUUUGAAUGACUGUUAUCUAAUAACAGUCAUAUCGUGAGAGGGGGGAUGUCAGGGAGAGGUAUGGCGAGAAUGAAUGUUAGUUUGAUAUGAUUGUUAUAUCCCCUUGUUAUGAAUGCGAAGUGUUGUACGUGUUGUGAACUGAGUGAUGAAGUCUUCGUUGAAUGUGCGAGAGAAUGUGUUAAGUCAGUAAGGUCUUGCUCCCGGUCCAGGAAGGUUGGACGUUUACUUCCUGGACUGGUGUUUAUGUAUUUAUAAGUUGAUGGACUGGUGUUUUGUUUAUUAAUAUUUACUUGAGCAAUAUUGGAUAUUAAAAUAUUGAUAUAUUCUUGGA